GUGAUUAAAUUUUCUUUUUAGCUCAAUUGUGCCAUCAUUUUUGAAUUACUGUGCAAUUGAAUGAUUUGGACUAUUUGCUACUGAUUUGAUAUUGUACAUGUCAAUACUACUGUUUGUUAAUUUGCUACUGAUUUGGGUUAUUGCUUACCUAGCUUACUGAGCAAUUUCAUGUUGAAUGGGUCUUCAACAUCUCUAUUGGUGGCUAAGUUUUGGGUGGACACUUAUUAGCUGCUGGGUUCCACUAUUUUGAUUCUCUGUUGAGACCAGAGUGCAGAGUGCAGAACUCUUGGGAAAGUUUUUUGUUGUGUUAUUGAGGUUGAGACCAACGUGCAGAACUCUUUAGGAAGUCAAAGAAGUAUUACUUUAUUUUUCCAAACGAACGCCUCUUUGAUGCAGAUGAUUUUAAAGAAUCCUGGGUUUUAGAGUUUUCAGAUUCGCUGCACUACCUGCAACCUUGCUCACCUUUUCAGAGAAUCUCUCUUUUGGCUGUUAUACUCUCUCUCGUGUCUGUGUCAUCUGCUUUGGUCCAAAUUGUUGUGGUUGUAGUGCUAUCUCAAAUGGUUAAGAAAUUGUGUAUUGCUUACGUGGGUUACUGAGGAACUUCAUUUUGAAUGGGUCCUCAAAAUCUCUAUUGGUGUUUUCUCUAUUUUGUUUGGUGGUUGAGCCAAUGCCUCCUCCAUUUGAUUCUAUCUCUAAGAUCCACCCUCCAAGGGAGGCAUGGAGACUCAAAGUUAGGGUACUAAGAACUUGGAUUGUUCCUUCUUUUGGAAAUCAUGAUGUUGCAAAUUCAAUGAAAAUUGUUCUUGUUGAUGGAGAUUCUAAUAAAAUACAAGCAACUGUUAAGAAGCAGCUCAUAAAUAGGUUUAAAGAGAGUAUUAUUGAGGGUCAAACAUACCGAAUGUCAUAUUUUAGUGUUGUUCCAAACCAAGGCAAUUAUAGAGCAGCAGAACAUGAGUUUAAGUUGGUUUUUCUUAACCGUACAACUAUUAUUCCUGUACCUGUCGAUGAUAUCCCAAAGACAUGUUUCAGUUUCUGUCCGUUUGAUGAGCUCUUGAAAAUGACGGAAGAUUAUGUUUACUUAGUUGGUUGACAAUACGCUGUGCUUUGUUUGGGGAGUACGUGGAUGAAGUGCAUCAUUUCUUAUGUUCUAGCUAUAUGGAGCAACCAGUUGUUGUGAUCUAACUUGCCAAAGUUAAAUUCUUUAGGGGACAAGUUGAUCUUCAAAAUGUUAUGCAUGCUACUCGGCUGUUCUUUAAUCCAGAUUUGUCUGAAGUAGUUGAUUUCAAAAACAGUAUGAUUGGCCAAGGUAUCAAUGGAACAUAGCCAUUGUUUAUUGCUAAUGAGGGCAAGGGUGUUUCAUUGAAAGAUGAUUUUAUGCGACUUACUAGAAGAUGCACUAUUGACGAACUUCAUGAUAACAACGAGGUUUAUUGGGUUUUUUCCAUGUCUUUGGUCAAUUUUGACUUAGAUGUCCUUUCAUGAAAAAUUUAUACGAAGUUUAUGUUUUCCAUUCAUAUCUCAAUAUUUAUUUUUUAUAUUAUCCUUUUGUGAUUUUUGGUUUUGUGAGAUCUAUUGUGGAUGAGGGACCUUGGUGGUAUUCAGCUUGUGUUUGUGGGAAGUCAAUUCAGCCUCAAGAUGGUGCAUAUUAUUGUGAUUUUUGUCAGCACUAUGUUACCAAUGUGACUCCUAGAUAUAGGAUCAAAAUAGCUGUUGAGGAUGAUAAUGGAAAAAUCAUGU